rnacentral:SRP_RNA from 1 species
GCUUGACAUGGUGGCACAUGUUCUUAAUCCCAGCUGCCUAGGAAGUUGAGCCUGGUGAAUCUCUUGAGUUCCACAGUUCUGAUCUCCAGUGGGCUUUGUCAAUCAGGUCUCCACACUAAGUUUGGCAUUAAUAUGGUGAACCUCCAAGAAGGGAGUUGGGGCUGUGGAAGGGUACAUUAUCCCAGGUCAGAAGUGGAGCAGCUCAAAGCACCCAUUCUAAUCAGUAGGGGUAUCAAGCUCAUGAGAAGCCCCUGCAUUUCUGGCUGGGUAAGAUAAGAAGACCUACUCUUC